rnacentral:rRNA from 1 species
ACUUAAGCAUAUCAAUAAGCGGAGGAAAAGAAACCAACAGGGAUUGCCCUAGUAACGGCGAGUGAAGCGGCAACAGCUCAAAUUUGAAAGCUGGCUCCGGCCCGCAUUGUAAUUUGCAGAGGAUGCUUUUGGUGAGGUGCCUUCCGAGUUCCCUGGAACGGGACGCCAUAGAGGGUGAGAGCCCCGUAUGGAUGGACACCAAACCUGUGUAAAGCUCCUUCAACGAGUCGAGUAGUUUGGGAAUGCUGCUCAAAAUGGGAGGUAAAUCUCUUCUAAAGCUAAAUACCGGCCAGAGACCGAUAGCGCACAAGUAGAGUGAUCGAAAGAUGAAAAGCACCUUGAAAAGGGGGUUAAACAGUACGUGAAAUUGUUAAAAGGGAAGCGCUUGUGACCAGACUUGCGCCGGGCAGCUCAUCAGGGGUUCUCCCCUGUGCACUCUGCCCGGCUCAGGCCAGCAUCGGUUCUCGUGGGAGGAUAAGAACAGUAGGAAUGUGGCCCCCUCUCGGGGGGGUGUUAUAGCCUAUUGUACGAUACUCUCGUGGGGACCGAGGUUCGCGCUCCGCAAGGAUGCUGGCGUAAUGGUCAUCAGCGACCCGUCUUGAAACACGGACCAAGGAGUCGUCCAUUAGAGCGAGCGUUUGGGUGUAAAACCCGCACGCGUAAUGAAAGUGAACGCAGGUGAGAGCUUCGGCGCAUCAUCGACCGAUCCUGAUGUCUUCGGAUGGAUUUGAGUAAGAGUUUUAACGGACGGACCCGAAAGACAGUGAACUAUGCUUGUAUAGGGUGAAGCCAGAGGAAACUCUGGUGGAGGCUCGCAGCGGUUCUGACGUGCAAAUCGAUCGUCAAAUAUGAGCA